rnacentral:rRNA from 1 species
CUACGGGAGGCAGCAGUGGGGAAUAUUGGACAAUGGGCGAAAGCCUGAUCCAGCAAUGCCGCGUGUGUGAAGAAGGCCUUAGGGUUGUAAAACUCUUUCAGCAGGGAAGAUAAUGACGGUACCUGCAGAAGAAGCCCCGGCUAACUCCGUGCCAGCAGCCGCGGUAAUAAUCACUA